rnacentral:lncRNA from 1 species
UGAAAACGCUCUGAGUCCUCCUUUGCUAUCAGGUAAUUUGCAGAUUGCAAUCUCAUCUUUUCAAAGCAAUUGGACACGUCUUCAUACCAAAUUUCACUCAAGGGAACCCGUGUGCACAUCUGCACUGCACUCUGGGCAGGGAACCUGCGUGCACAUCUGCAGUGCACUCUGGGCAGGGAACCUGCGUGCUCGUCUGCAGUGCACUCUGGUCAGGGAACCUGCGUGCACAUCUGCAGUGCACUCUGGGCAGGGAACCUGCGUGCUCGUCUGCAGUGCACUCUGGGCAGGGAACCUGUGUGCACGUCUGCAAUGCACUCUGGGCUUUAUGUCUAAAGUCAAUCAGCAGGGUUUGUUGCAAGCAGAAUGCAGAAGCCAUGUAAGGCCACAGAACAGUUACAGACGACGAGGAACAGCGAGCGUCCCUCUCCCAUUCAAUGGGAGCCACCUGCGCCAGCCCACGCCACAGACCACAGCGAGGAUGCGCGCCUAAGAACGGUGGUGGUUAGAGCUAAGGUAUGGGGACUAUACACCAUAAAUAUUCCUGAAUUACUUAGUUCAGAGGUAGAGUUAACAUAACUGCUUCUUUUAAUUAUAUGAUCUAAAGCAUACAUGAGAAUAAUCACCAAACUCCCAUACUAGGCGAUAUGGCGU